GAACGCCGGCGGUGUGCCUAAUACAUGCAAGUCGUACGCACUGGCCCAACUGAUUGAUGGUGCUUGCACCUGAUUGACGAUGGAUCACCAGUGAGUGGCGGACGGGUGAGUAACACGUAGGUAACCUGCCCCGGAGCGGGGGAUAACAUUUGGAAACAGAUGCUAAUACCGCAUAACAACAAAAGCCACAUGGCUUUUGUUUGAAAGAUGGCUUUGGCUAUCACUCUGGGAUGGACCUGCGGUGCAUUAGCUAGUUGGUAAGGUAACGGCUUACCAAGGCGAUGAUGCAUAGCCGAGUUGAGAGACUGAUCGGCCACAAUGGAACUGAGACACGGUCCAUACUCCUACGGGAGGCAGCAGUAGGGAAUCUUCCACAAUGGGCGCAAGCCUGAUGGAGCAACACCGCGUGAGUGAAGAAGGGUUUCGGCUCGUAAAGCUCUGUUGUUGGAGAAGAACGUGCGUGAGAGUAACUGUUCACGCAGUGACGGUAUCCAACCAGAAAGUCACGGCUAACUACGUGCCAGCAGCCGCGGUAAUACGUAGGUGGCAAGCGUUAUCCGGAUUUAUUGGGCGUAAAGCGAGCGCAGGCGGUUGCUUAGGUCUGAUGUGAAAGCCUUCGGCUUAACCGAAGAAGUGCAUCGGAAACCGGGCGACUUGAGUGCAGAAGAGGACAGUGGAACUCCAUGUGUAGCGGUGGAAUGCGUAGAUAUAUGGAAGAACACCAGUGGCGAAGGCGGCUGUCUGGUCUGCAACUGACGCUGAGGCUCGAAAGCAUGGGUAGCGAACAGGAUUAGAUACCCUGGUAGUCCAUGCCGUAAACGAUGAGUGCUAGGUGUUGGAGGGUUUCCGCCCUUCAGUGCCGGAGCUAACGCAUUAAGCACUCCGCCUGGGGAGUACGACCGCAAGGUUGAAACUCAAAGGAAUUGACGGGGGCCCGCACAAGCGGUGGAGCAUGUGGUUUAAUUCGAAGCUACGCGAAGAACCUUACCAGGUCUUGACAUCUUGCGCUAACCUUAGAGAUAAGGCGUUCCCUUCGGGGACGCAAUGACAGGUGGUGCAUGGUCGUCGUCAGCUCGUGUCGUGAGAUGUUGGGUUAAGUCCCGCAACGAGCGCAACCCUUGUUACUAGUUGCCAGCAUUAAGUUGGGCACUCUAGUGAGACUGCCGGUGACAAACCGGAGGAAGGUGGGGACGACGUCAGAUCAUCAUGCCCCUUAUGACCUGGGCUACACACGUGCUACAAUGGACGGUACAACGAGUCGCAAGCUCGCGAGAGUAAGCUAAUCUCUUAAAGCCGUUCUCAGUUCGGACUGUAGGCUGCAACUCGCCUACACGAAGUCGGAAUCGCUAGUAAUCGCGGAUCAGCAUGCCGCGGUUGAAUACGUUCCCGGGCCUUGUACACACCGCCCGUCACACCAUGGGAGUUUGUAACGCCCAAAGUCGGUGGCCUAACCUUUAUGGAGGGAGCCGCCUAAGGCGGGACAGAUGA
rnacentral:rRNA from 2 species